rnacentral:piRNA from 1 species
UGGAUGGAAAUGUUCUCAAUUGGAAAC